ACUCCCCUGUGCUGUUUGUGAUUGACGGGUACAUUUCGAACCAAUAUUGUAUGCAAGGGGGCCUUCCCUGACUGUGGCCGGCACGUCCCCGCGCGGGAAAACCGAAUGCAGUUACCAAGGCGUCCACCUGUGAAAACAGGUUCAAAUUGCCGUCGACACGGCCGUUACGGGGGAGUA
rnacentral:other from 1 species